ACAAUAUAUACUUGGUAUUAUAGUUACUUUUCUUCUUUAAUUAUCUUAAUUUUAGGAUGUUUUCCUACAUUUAUAAUUCAUACAAAAAGCUCGAAACUGAAGCAUUGGGACGUUGCUUGAAAAAUUUGAGCUUGAUUUCUGCACAAAUUAUUAUUAUUAUUAUUUUACGUAGACUUAUUUAUAUUAGUCCAUUGAUUCUCUUAUACUUUGUUCGAUCCAAAAAACAGAAAUAAACAAAAAUAGUAGCAGGAGAAAACAUGAGUAGACAUGAUUUCUCUAUCUACAAUAACUCUUUGCACACUGCAACAUUUUCACUAGUCUGAGAUCAUGCACCAAAACUAAAUAAUAGAAGCUCUUUAUUGCGUUAUUAUAAAAUACUUGUUUCACAUAAACUUGAAAGAAAUGAGAACCAACAGAGUCCCUCUAUUUAGGAACAAAAAAUAAACCUCACCACCCUUCCUUUGAAUUACUCAGUUGAUCUCCUCUCUCUUACUUCUCAUUCCUUCUUGAUUAUUUUAGUGCAUGUAGUAAGCAAUGAAUGACACAACGGAGGCACCAACCAAGGACCCAAAGACGGGGAGGCUGGCAGAGGCAUCAUUUGGGGCUCCUCCUGUAGGUCCCUCGGCAGGGGCGUGGGCGUGGCCUUCAUGAGCCAUCACGGCGCUGACAGAGGCGGUGGCGAAGAGGACAGCUCAAGCAAUCUUCUUCAUUUCCAUGGUGGCCUUGCGGUGCCUUUUAGGCUAUGAUGAGCAAAAACGUCUUGGAAUAUUUGAGAUUUGAGGCCGAGGAUGGUGUGAUUAAGGAGAAAUAUUUGUCAUAUUUAUAUAGGAAAGGGUUGAUGAUUGUCCUAUGGAAUAUUACAAAGAACGGGUACUGUGUUUCUUUUGGAAGUUGACAAUUUAACGUGAUAGAAGGGUUUACAGCAAAUCUGAGUUGCGUGCACAUACGCAGCGCGUUUGGUGGCAGAAUUGGUAAUGUAUCCAACACGGUAGAGAAAAACAAUGCCAUGGAAAUUAUUGGUGACAAUGCAAUCUUUAUGAAAGAAAUCUAAAUUUGUUAUCCAACUUAGCAUUUAUGAUUUGUCCAAAAAAAACUUAGCAUUUAUGAAUUAGAAGUAUAAAAGGUUUUAUAAG
rnacentral:lncRNA from 1 species